UUUUCUCUCUCUCGCUCUCUCUGUACCCCCCACCCCAGCUCAUGCUCUCUCUCUCUCUAAGAAAUAAAUAAAUGGGGAGAUUUUCAUUUUUCUAGCCUUUUUCUCUUCCAUUUAUCAAUAGUCCAAGUGGAUUGAAACACCAUGUUUUAUAAAGCUUCAAGAAAUUAUUUUGAUAUUAUGGCUACCCUAUGUAAGUUUAAAUUCCUAAUAGCAUUUUUACCCAUCAUGUUAAACUUUAUAUAGAGUAUUUCUGAAUUUAGAGAAACCUAUUGAGUGGUAAAUUAAAAUGAAAUAAAAAUAUUGUUACUGAAUUAUUAAGUUUAGAAGUUAUCUAGCGUGUUGCCUUCUUGUCUCAGGUAGAAACUGAGAUCUGAAGAUAUUUUAAUAUUAGUGCAUGGGUGCGUGUGUUAGGAAAGCUUCAAGACCACCCAGUUAUGCUGAUUUACUAGGAUUACUAAUAGGACACAGCAUAUAGUUGUACUCAUGGCCAUGAUUUAUUAUAGUUAAAGGAUACAAAUCAAAAUUAGCAAAGGGAAAAGGCACAUAAGACAAAGUUCAGGGGGAAACCAGGGGCAAGCUUUCAGAGUCCUCUUUCAGUUGAGUCACACGGAAAGUGCUUAAUUCCCCUAGCAAUAAGUUGUGACACCACAUGUGAAAUGUUGCCAGCUAGGGAAGCUCAUUAGAAGGGGUUUUUAUUAGGGGUCGAUGACCCCUUUGCCUAGCAUGUGCCAAAGUUCCAGACUCCCAGCAGGAAAGAAGUAGUCAGCAUAACUGGAUUGUUUCUACGAACAGUUUAGGUGCAUUAAUCUGUACCUAAUCAGGGAGGGUGGGAGCUCUGCUGAAAUCCAAGUUCCUAGGCACCAGCCGGCGAAGGGCCAACCUUGCAAGUGGGCCUUUUAAGAUAGUCAGGCCUGCUAUGUUAACUCUUUUCUGCAUUCUGCAUGUGUGUGUAUGUAACACUUGGCAUAUAAUGUGCUUUUAUUAAAUGUUAGCUGUUUUUAUCUAUUAUAGGGAUUCUUCAUUGAUUACUACUACUUCUAUUAAUUGUGAUCUUCUGCAUUCCUAGGAGAAGAGAAAGUUAAGACUGACUUAUCCAAGGCUCUGGAAGCUUCUACGUUGGGGAUCAGGCUUUUAACUUUGCAUUAUUUACGUGAUAUAAUGAAGAUGAGAGACAACCAGAGAGAGAGGGAACACAAGCAGGG